CAACACCCUUCGGCAUUUCGUGUUUCCCACACUGGUCUAUUCUUCCGGAUCACAAUAUCUGUUUUGCUUCUUUAAAAAAACGAUAGUUCAGGCAGAGAUUCCUGUGUGAAAUCAUAUGCUUGAAGCACGUAACACGUAACUGAGCCGAGAACAAACUUUCGAAUUUAUCUUGAAACCGAGCUUGAAACUGAGACUAUCUCUCGGUGCGGUUCUUCGAAAAGAUUGAACUUUUAACUUGCUUAUCUCCCCGUCGCUCGUUAUACAUACACGAGAAGCAAUACGAAGGGAAAUGUUACUGUGUACAAAAACGAAUGCAACAUGCCAGCUGUGCGGAGUUGACUCGUAAUUCAAUUUUCAUUGUUUCGCGCGAGCUAGAUAUGUACGCACAUGUUUCGGCGGUGAUAUUCUACUUGUGAUGUGCAAGUAAUCACGUCGCAUUGGUGCGUAAAGAUGUUUGUAUAUUGGAAUAAGUAUUAUAUAAUUUGCAUAACAAAUGAUAGGAUAAAUCAAUUACAGAAGAGGCAAGACUGCAAAGGAACAAGUUACAACAUUAGAUAUGAAAACUCUUAAUGCAAUACUUUUAAUUGUACAGGUAAAUUGAUAGGAAUAUGUACAUCAUAGAAGACCAGUUGAGAGACGAGACGCGAACAGUGGAUACACAGAGUUUGCUUGAUUCUGUAAUUGCAAAAAACAAAACUAUUAUAACGAGACUUCCAAUUCCCAUGUACAAUAAGUUUAUCCAAUAUUGGCGCAUAGAUCCUGAAAUGUCGAGACGGUGGGAGUCUUUAUUUUUACCUGUUGGAUCUAUUUUUAUUCUCGGAGUGGUUGUUUUGUUAAUGGUAUUGUUCAAACGAUGUCCACAUACGGUGGCUGCAAUUGUUGCCGUAAUCCUUACCAUUAUUAUCGCAUUAACAACUGUGAUUGCACUUAAUAAUCAUGAGCCAAUUUAUACUUAAUAAUGAACUGGACUGCGUAUAAUAUGAUUAUAUGUAUGUUAUAUUGAAUAAAAAACUUUUGAUA